ACGCUGGCGGCAGGCCUAACACAUGCAAGUCGAGCGGUAGCACGGGAGAGCUUGCUCUCUGGGUGACGAGCGGCGGACGGGUGAGUAAUGUCUGGGAAACUGCCUGAUGGAGGGGGAUAACUACUGGAAACGGUAGCUAAUACCGCAUGACCUCGCAAGAGCAAAGUGGGGGACCUUCGGGCCUCAUGCCAUCGGAUGUGCCCAGAUGGGAUUAGCUAGUAGGUGGGGUAAUGGCUCACCUAGGCGACGAUCCCUAGCUGGUCUGAGAGGAUGACCAGCCACACUGGAACUGAGACACGGUCCAGACUCCUACGGGAGGCAGCAGUGGGGAAUAUUGCACAAUGGGCGCAAGCCUGAUGCAGCCAUGCCGCGUGUGUGAAGAAGGCCUUAGGGUUGUAAAGCACUUUCAGCGAGGAGGAAGGCGUUGUAGUUAAUAGCUGCAACGAUUGACGUUACUCGCAGAAGAAGCACCGGCUAACUCCGUGCCAGCAGCCGCGGUAAUACGGAGGGUGCAAGCGUUAAUCGGAAUUACUGGGCGUAAAGCGCACGCAGGCGGUUUGUUAAGUCAGAUGUGAAAUCCCCGAGCUUAACUUGGGAACUGCAUUUGAAACUGGCAAGCUAGAGUCUUGUAGAGGGGGGUAGAAUUCCAGGUGUAGCGGUGAAAUGCGUAGAGAUCUGGAGGAAUACCGGUGGCGAAGGCGGCCCCCUGGACAAAGACUGACGCUCAGGUGCGAAAGCGUGGGGAGCAAAC
rnacentral:rRNA from 1 species